CAUUACACAAAUAUGAAGGCGGGCUGGAACCUCUCGGGGUUACAGCCUUGCUGAAUUAUUCACCCUUGUCUUUUGCGUACUUCUUGUUUCCUUGGUGGGUUCGCCCACCACUAGGACAAACAUAAACCUUUUGUAAUUGCAAUCAGCGUCAGUAACAAAUUAAUAAUUACAACUUUCAACAACGGAUCUCUUGGUUCUGGCAUCGAUGAAGAACGCAGCGAAAUGCGAUAAGUAGUGUGAAUUGCAGAAUUCAGUGAAUCAUCGAAUCUUUGAACGCACAUUGCGCCCUUUGGUAUUCCAAAGGGCAUGCCUGUUCGAGCGUCAUUUGUACCCUCAAGCUUUGCUUGGUGUUGGGCGUCUUGUCUCUAGCUUUGCUGGAGACUCGCCUUAAAGUAAUUGGCAGCCGGCCUACUGGUUUCGGAGCGCAGCACAAGUCGCACUCUCUAUCAGCAAAGGUCUAGCAUCCAUUAAGUCCUUUUUUUCAACUUUUGACCUCGGAUCAGGUAGGGAUACCCGCUGAACUUAAGCAUAUCAAUAGCGGAGGA
rnacentral:rRNA from 1 species